rnacentral:tRNA from 1 species
AAAGAAAUUAUAUUAAAAGAAGCUUCUAACUUCUUAAAGAGCAUUUAAAUGUUCAU